GCCGAAGUGGCGGAACAGGCAGACGCGCACGACUCAAACUCGUGUUCCCUCUGGGAUUGUGGGUUCGAUUCCCACCUUCGGCA
rnacentral:tRNA from 1 species